ACAGCAGUCGCCGCGGUAAUACGGAGGGAGCUAGCGUUGUUCGGAAUUACUGGGCGUAAAGCGCGCGUAGGCGGUUACUCAAGUCAGAGGUGAAAGCCCGGGGCUCAACCCCGGAACUGCCUUUGAAACUAGGUGACUAGAAUCUUGGAGAGGUCAGUGGAAUUCCGAGUGUAGAGGUGAAAUUUGUAGAUAUUCGGAAGAACACCAGUGGCGAAGGCGGCUCACUGGCUCAUACUGGACGCUGAGGUGCGAAAGCGUGGGGAGCAAACAGGAUUAGAUACCCCCGUAGUCCCUGUCUCUUAUAC
rnacentral:rRNA from 1 species